UACGUAGGGGGCGAGCGUUGUCCGGAUUUACUGGGCGUAAAGGGUGCGUAGGCGGCCUACUAAGUCGGACGUGAAAUCCCGCGGCUCAACCCGGGAACUGCAUCCGAUACUGGAAGGCUUGAGUUCGGGAGAGGGAUGCGGAAUUCCAGGUGUAGCGGUGAAAUGCGUAGAUAUCUGGAGGAACACCGGUGGCGAAGGCGGCAUCCUGGACCGGCACUGACGCUGAGGAGCGAAAGCCAGGGGAGCAAACGGG
rnacentral:rRNA from 1 species